rnacentral:snRNA from 1 species
AGAUGUGAAGGUGAUCUGGCUGCGACAUCUGUCACCCCACUGAUCACCUGGGUUGAUUCGGCUGAUCUGGCUGGCUAGGUCCCCUACCUCCCUCACUGCUCCAUGUGAGUCCCUCCCAAAGCUGUGCUCUCAGUCAAAGAGGAUGACCUUCCCCAACAGAGGACCGUUCUUCAGUCAAGGGUAUAGAGUAGCUGUGCUCCCCUGCUAGAACCUCCAAACAAGCUCUCAAAAAUAAAUAUUAAUAAAUGUAUCACUAUCUUGGAAAUAUCUAAAAGCAGAAGAUAGUGAGUCAAGGUCAGAAAAUGUGAUCAAGUUAUUC